GACGAACGCUGGCGGCGUGCUUAACACAUGCAAGUCGAACGGGUCUGCCCUGUUUUUUGCGGGGUGGGUCAGUGGCGAACGGGUGAGUAACACGUGAGUAACCUGCCCCUCACUUCUGGAUAACCGCUUGAAAGGGUGGCUAAUACGGGGUGUUCUGGCUGUGCCGCAUGGUGUGGCUGGGAAAGAUUCACCUUUGUGGUGUUUUGGUGGGGGAUGGGCUCGCGGCCUAUCAGCUUGUUGGUGGGGUGAUGGCCUGCCAAGGCUUUGACGGGUAGCCGGCCUGAGAGGGUGGGCGGUCACACUGGGGAGGAGAUGCGGCCCAGACUCCGGCGGGAGGCAGCAGUGGGGGGUAUUGCACAAUGGGCGGAAGGCUGAUGCAGCGACGUCGCGGGAGGGAUGGAGGCCUUCGGGUUGUGAACCUCUUUCGCCGGUGAAGAAGGUCCUGCUCUUUGUGGUGGGGUUGACGGUAGCCGGGUUAUGAAGCGCCGGCUAACUACGUG
rnacentral:rRNA from 1 species